rnacentral:misc_RNA from 1 species
UCUCCGUAGGUGAACCAGCGGAAGGAUCAUUACUGAAUAACCAAGGUGCGAGGGCUUUCGAUGACACGAAAGGGUGUCUACGCCCGAGUGCCCCCACACAAACCCAUCCCACCCCUACGCGCACCCCCGCGUGGGUGCCAAUUCGGCAUGAUCGGGGGAGGGCUUACCUUUUCUCGCAUACUUGGUUUGCAUUGUAGAAAGUAUAAUAUGUUUUUGCGAUCACGCAAUCAAUACAGCUUUCAAGAACAGAUCUCUAGGCUCUCGCAUCGAUGAAGAAAA